rnacentral:lncRNA from 1 species
GAAAGCUGACAAAACCCCAAUAAGAUGAUGAGUCAUUUUAGCCUGGAAGAAGUUUAUUCAAAGAGUGUGAUUUUGAGAAUGAAAGAAUCAGGCACCAGGUGAGAGCAGAUUCUUUCUUGACUAAUGAAGAUGUCAGUCACCUGGACAAGAAAUGUAACCACUAGAAGCUUCUCUCCUGACUGGCAGAUCUGUUUCCAAGAUGAAUAAUCUAAAUCCCAUGGAGGUAAAGCAACUUGACUGAGAUCAUCCAGGCAUAUCUCAGAAAUAUUGUGGGGUCAGUUCCAUACCACCACCAUGAAGUGAAUAUUGCAAUAAAGUGAGUGACAUGAAUUUUUGUGUUUCCUAG